rnacentral:lncRNA from 1 species
CCAACAGAUGUUGGAGGGUGAGCAUAGCUGUCGAGGCUAGCAGCCAUUGAUCGCCACAUAUAAAGAGGCACAGUUCAAUAGGUAAGCAAGUCACACUGAACUCCGUGGGUCUUACUUCUGAGUGUAGGCAAUGAUCAGGACUGCACUGUUAGACCCCCCUAGUCUGUAGGCACUGGUUAUAGCAUUUGCCCCCUCGCCCAACAAAUCCUGAGCCCCCUUCUCACCACACACACGUCAAUCCCAUCUCAACAAAAGAAGACACCUCCUCCCAGAAUAAAGUCACAUUGCAAAGUUAUUAAGAGACAUCUCCCGGUUCCAAAUACGACCCUGGGACAGGGGCUUUGGGGGGGGGGGAGACGGGAGGCAUGGAUUCAACGGACCAGGAGAGUCUGUGCAACCAGAAAGGGGUUUUUUUUGGGGGGGGGGAGGAAAAUCUAUGGGGGAAAGCCGAUAAGCCUGUCUGACUGUAUACAAUCGUCCCCCUUUUCUACAAAGUUGCGGAAGCGACAGUCGGGCAGAUGGUAAUCUCAAAAGCAGAUAGGGGGGCUCCGGCGAGGGGGGGGGGGGCGGGCGGCGGAGAGGGAGGCACCGUCGCUCUUUGUCGAGGUCCCCUUGGCUGGCUAAUCAGCUCCAGCGUCUGCGGCGGGUCCCUGAACCCUCCCGUCUGCUUUCGACGGCUUGACGGCCUGGAAAAAACGCGGCACCUGAAUUAUUGAAGAGGAAGGCAGUUGACUUCUCACCCUCUCCUUCGCUUUCUCUCUCGGAAUCCAUCACCUGAGCGUUUUCUCUGAAAGGCUAGAAAAAGCGGGGGAGUACACGAGGAGGGGUGGAGGGCCGAGCGAGGCAAAGACUGGGACCGGACAGAGACCCUCUGGAAACCCCAGGAGGGCGCUGCCGCCCCAUCACCUGCCUGAACAGACGGCGCACGGGCCUCUCCUCGCGGAGACCAGAGGAAGAAAGUCCCAAAAGACUCUGGAUCCGUGAGAAAGUCCCAUUCUAGACUCAACCCACUCAAAAAGAAGGGGCAGGUUACAGAGGGUGUCUGUGUGGAACGCAGGUGGUUUUGCUGAGAAGACUUUAUAUUCAUUUAAAAUAAUCCCUCAGUUGAUCUAAAAUCUUAAUUCCCAAGCAUGUUAUUUCCUUUCCCCUCCGAGGGGUUUUGUACCCCUCCCUUUCCCCAGAUCAGGGCGCAGGGCGGCUUAUAACACAAGAUGCACUGCAGACAGUAAUCUAAAAUAGAAAACAAAGCUAUAAUUCCAUACAUCCAUUAUAGACUGAAAAAUACAGCAACUGCCAUAGUUAAACUAUGGAACUUGCUCCCGCAAGAGGCAGUGAGGGCCACCUGCCUGGCUUUAAAAAUGGAGCAGACAAAUUCAUGGAGAAGUCUGUCAGUGGCUAACGGCUUGGUUUUUCCUCUGCACUAUGCCUCUGAAUACCAGUUGCUGGGAAUCGCAGGUGGGAAGAGUGGGCUUCCCAUGGGCAUCUAGCUGGCCACUGUGAGAACUGGAUGCUGAACUUAACAGCCAAGACUCAACUCCAGUCAGCAUCCGCAUCAUCAGAAUUCCAAGGGCCUGGACAAACCACGGUCUGGAAAAGUGACGUGGCAGAGCAACUGGAUUGCUCUAGGACGCCAUAUGCAUUGCUGGCAUUCCAUAUGGCCACGUGCUGAAUCUGAAAGAUUUAUAUUACAAAAAGGCUUUGCAUGAUGGACCUCCUGUGAGCAAGGGGUACUUUGGAGUUCAAAUAGGAUUGCGUCUAUAUUUUACAAUUAGGCUGGGAAUGUUAGUUACAAACCCCCAACACCAACAAACAUGCCAGAAGGACGUCUCAAUCCUAAGCAUGUUCAUUAGAGAGCAAGCUCGGUGGAAUCGUGGGAGCUUGCUUCCAAGUAAACAUGCAUAGGAUUGGGACCCAAAGGGACCCAAAGUCGCCUUCUUCUCCUCAGCUCCUUCACUGGAAUGUCCCUGGAUAUCAUCCUUGCCCUUGAACCCAGGUCUUUCGAAUGGAAUAUAUCUAGAGAGUGGAGUGGGAGUUGGAGUGAGGUGAGUGCGGCCGCCUGCCACCUUAAAGGAAAGGGGUCCCGAUCCAACCAAGCGGCAGCGCUUCGAGGCCCCCUGGUUUCCAUAGGAGAGAACUGGGCACUUACUCAGCUCUCCCUCUGGAAAUGAAGGUGGCUCCCAACCCCUUAACUUGCACAGGAUGUGACCCAAACUCCUCGCUUUAAAAAUCUGUUCGAACUUUUAUUUCCAGGGCUGUCUAAAUGGGACUCCGAAGGCGCCCCACGCCCCCUCAAAUUCAAUCAUUUUAUUUUAUUGUCAGCAGGGGAGGAAAUAAUUCAUCUACUGGCAGUGCUAUGUGGGGAUCCUCGGAAGUCAGGGCCACUAUGUUCAGAAGGGUUUAACCCCCAGAUAGUUGUGUGUAGGAUCGUAGCCUGAAUCUAUACCUGUCAUUGCAACAACAACAACAACAUGUUUUAAUUUCAGGAGAACGGAGCUUCCAUACUGAUGAACCGGGGUCCAUAGUGAAGAUUUUAUGAAAAUCCACCAACUACCAUCUUGCAUUGAUCAGACCUAUCAUCCUUUCUGAAGACCCAAAGGAAACAAUAUGUGCGGGGC